UUUCUUUCCUAUGUGACACACAGGACAACAUUCAACCCAAUCAACUUCCAGAGGACUCCAGUAUCACCAAUCUACAGCUCUGUACACCUGAAGGGCAAAUGGACAUUAACCAAGAUGGAGCUGCCACAGUACAUCCAAAUAUGACAACACAGGCCACUGCCUUUGUCAUAAAUGAUCGGGCCAAACAUCGUCUGUCACAGAAAGGAAUGAAUGACAUUGUUGCUGGAGUGCAGCAGUAUUAG